rnacentral:rRNA from 1 species
GUAGGGAAUCUUCCACAAUGGACGAAAGUCUGAUGGAGCAACGCCGCGUGAGUGAAGAAGGUCUUCGGAUCGUAAAACUCUGUUGUUAGAGAAGAACGUGCGUGAUAGUAACUGAUCAUGUAAUGACGGUAUCUAACCAGAAAGCCACGGCUAACUACGUGCCAGCAGCCGCGGUAAUACGUAGGUGGCAAGCGUUGUCCGGAUUUAUUGGGCGUAAAGGGAACGCAGGCGGUUUUUUAAGUCGGAUGUGAAAGCCUUCGGCUUAACCGAAGAAUAGCAUUGGAAACUGGAAGACUUGAGUGCAGAAGAGGAGAGUGGAAUUCCAUGUGUAGCGGUGAAAUGCGUAGAUAUAUGGAGGAACACCAGUGGCGAAAGCGGCUCUCUGGUCUGUAACUGACGCUGAGGUUCGAAAGCGUGGGUAGCAAACAGGAUUAGAUACCCUAGUAGUCC